rnacentral:rRNA from 1 species
CAGCCGCCGCGGUAAUACCGGCGGCCCGAGUGGCGGUCACUAUUAUUGGGCUUAAAGCGUCCGUAGCCGGGUUGGGAAGUCCUCCGGGAAAUCUGGCCGCUUAACGGUCAGAAUGCCGGAGGAUACUCCCAGCCUAGGGGGCGGGGGAGGCCGAGGGGAUUCCCGGAGUAGGGGUGAAAUCCUAUAAUCCCGGGAGGACCACCUGUGGCGAAGGCGCUCGGCUGGAACGCGUCCGACGGUGAGGGACGAAGGCCAGGGGAGCAAACCGGAUUAGAUACCCGGGUAGUCCUGGCUGUAAACGAUGCGGACUUUGUGUCGGACAAGCUAUGAGCUUGUCCGGUGCCGGAGGGAAACCGUUAAGUCCGCCGCCUGGGGAGUACGGCCGCAAGGCUGAAACUUAAAGGAAUUGGCGGG